rnacentral:rRNA from 1 species
AUCUAGGGCCAUAUACCCCUGAACACACCUGAUUUCAUCAGACUUUGGAAGUUAAGCAGGGUCAGACCUGGUUAGUACUUGGAUGAGAGAGAGGGAGACAGGUUGUUGAUC